rnacentral:rRNA from 1 species
UUAAGCAUAUCAAUAAGCGGAGGAAAAGAAACCAACCGGGAUUGCCUCAGUAACGGCGAGUGAAGCGGCAAGAGCUCAAAUUUGAAAUCUGGCCCCCUCGGGGUCCGAGUUGUAAUUUGCAGAGGAUGCUUCGGGUGCGGUCCCCAUCUAAGUGCCCUGGAACGGGCCGUCAUAGAGGGUGAGAAUCCCGUCUGGGAUGGGCGGCCGCGCCCGUGUGAAGCUCCUUCGACGAGUCGAGUUGUUUGGGAAUGCAGCUCUAAGCGGGUGGUAAAUUUCAUCUAAAGCUAAAUACUGGCCGGAGACCGAUAGCGCACAAGUAGAGUGAUCGAAAGAUGAAAAGCACUUUGAAAAGAGAGUUAAACAGCACGUGAAAUUGUUGAAAGGGAAGCGUUGUCCACCAGACUCGCCCGGGGGGGUUCAGCCGGCACGUGUGCCGGUGUACUCCUCUCCGGGCGGGCCAGCAUCGGUUUGGGCGGCUGGUGAAAGGCCCCGGGAAUGUACCACCCUCCGGGGUGUCUUAUAGCCCGGGGUGCCAUACAGCCAGCCUGGACCG